rnacentral:misc_RNA from 1 species
AACUUUCAGUGAUGGAUGUCUCGGGUCUCGGUUCGAUGAAGAACGCAGCUAACUGCGAUACGCAGUGUGACUUGCAGAUUUCUAUGAACUAUCAGAUUUUUGAACGCAAAAGGUAUUCCCGGAUUCGCUCUGGGAGUAUACUCAUUUCAGUGCUUUGAAUUUAUGUUGCUUUCCCGGAAAGCAAACGUGUAUAGUUGCUGUUUUGACGGUGGCUGAAGUCAUGGGUAUUAGUUUUAGGUUGGAAUAUCCUUAAAACUAACACGCUCAAUUACUUUCAAACAAAAGCAUGAAAUUGAGUACGGUCACCCGUUGAACUUAAGCAUAUUAUUAAGCGGUGGAAAAGAAACUAACCAGGAUUCCCUUAGUAACUGCGAGUGAACAGGGAAGAGCUCAAACUGAAAAUUGUUAGUUUGCUAACAAAUUGUAGUUUCAUGAAGUGCUACUUGUAACUUUUGUGGACUAAGUCUCUUGGAAAAGAGUACAAUGAAGGGUGAAAGUCCUGUGUUUGUCCAGUAAUUGUUACGAUAAGUACGCUUUUCGAAGAGUCGCGUUCCUUGAGAUUGGAGCGCAAAGUGGGUGAUAAAUUUCAUCUAAAGCUAAAUACAGACGAAAUUCCGAUAGUAAACAAGUACCGUGAGGGAAAGAUGAAAAGGACUUUGAAAAGAGAGUUAAAAGGAACUGAAAUCACUGAAAAGGAAGUGAAGAGAUUUAACGAUCUAACAGAGUCAGAUUUCUGAUGCAAAUCUUCGUAUUUGUUUUCAAUUUUUGACAUCUGUGGUGACUUUGAAACUGACCUUUUCUCUUGGUUUAAUUUAGGACAAAUCCGUAGGAUUUGUCUUAUUUUAUCCAGGUAAUUUGGUCAAAAGGUACUGUAGAUGUACCUUCAUUGGUACAAUUAUUAAGUUUCAAAGAUGUUAAAUCUCUUCAUCCCGUCUUGAAACACGGACCAAGGAGUCUAACAUGUACGCGAGUACCAGAGUUAUAAGCUCACGUGCGAAAUGAAAGUGAUUGUCAGGAAACAUUAGUUGCACUGACACCCAGUUAUCAAACUGAGGUAGAGCAUGUGGUUUAGGACCCGAAAGAUGGUGAACUAUGCUUGAGUAAGGUGAAACUAGAGGAAACUCUGGUGGAAGCUUAUAGCGAUACUGACGUGCAAAUCGUUCGUCAAACUUGAGUAUAGGGGCGAAAGACUAAUCGAACCAUCUAGUAGCUGGUUCCCUC